rnacentral:rRNA from 1 species
GUGGGGAAUAUUGGACAAUGGGCGCAAGCCUGAUCCAGCCAUGCCGCGUGAGUGAUGAAGGCCUUAGGGUUGUAAAGCUCUUUCAGUGGGGACGAUAAUGACGGUACCCACAGAAGAAGCCCCGGCUAACUUCGUGCCAGCAGCCGCGGUAAUACGAAGGGGGCUAGCGUUGUUCGGAUUUACUGGGCGUAAAGCGCACGUAGGCGGAUCGUUAAGUCGGGGGAGAAAUCCUGGAGCUCAACUCCAGAACUGCCUUCGAUACUGGCGAUCUUGAGUCCGGAAGAGGUGAGUGGAACUCCUAGUGUAGAGGUGGAAUUCGUAGAUAUUAGGAAGAACACCAGUGGCGAAGGCGGCUCACUGGUCCGGUACUGACGCUGAGGUGCGAAAGCGUGGGGAGCAAACAGGAUUAGAAACCCUGGUAGUCC